rnacentral:sRNA from 1 species
UUUAUUAGUGGAGGAUGAACUGAAGCAAAUUGCUGAAAAUAUUGAAAGCAUUAAUCAGAACAAAGCUCCUUCGAAAUAUAUAGGCAACUAUGCGAUUUUAGAUCAUCUUGGAAGUGGAGCUUUUGGCUGUGUUUACAAGCUUUAUCAUCCCAACAUUGUACGUUAUUACAAAACAUUUCUGGAAAAUGAUAGGUUGUACAUAGUUAUGGAGCUUAUAGAAGGAGCCCCGCUUGGAGAGCAUUUCAGUUCUUUGAAGGAAAAACAUCACCAUUUUACUGAAGAAAGACUAUGGAAAAUAUUUAUACAGCUAUGCUUAGCUCUUCGAUACUUACACAAGGAGAAGAGGAUUGUCCAUAGAGAUCUUACACCAAACAACAUUAUGUUGGGGGAUAAGGACAAAGUAACAGUUACUGACUUUGGCCUGGCAAAGCAAAAACAAGAAAACAGUAAACUCACGUCUGUGGUUGGAACAAUCCUGUAUUCUUGCCCCGAGGUACUGAAGAGUGAGCCGUAUGGGGAGAAGGCUGAUGUCUGGGCAGUAGGCUGCAUCCUUUAUCAGAUGGCGACUUUGAAUCCCCCCUUCUACAGCACUAACAUGCUGUCCUUGGCUACAAAAAUAGUGGAGGCGGUAUAUGAACCAGUGCCAGAAGGUAUCUACUCUGAAAAAGUAACAGACACCAUCAGCAGGUGCCUCACUCCUGAUGCGGAAGCUCGUCCAGAUAUUGUAGAAGUCAGUUCGAUGAUAUCAGAUGUCAUGAUGAAAUAUUUAGACAACUUAUCUAAAUCCCAGUUGUCCUUGGAGAAGAAGCUAGAACGGGAACGAAGACGCACACAAAGGUAUUUUAUGGAAGCCAACCGGAACACCAUCACAUGUCACCAUGAGCUGACUCUUCUAUCUCAUGAGACCUUUGAGAAGGCAAGUUUGAGUAGCAGCAGCAGUGGAGCAGCCAGCCUGAAAAGUGAACUUUCAGAAAGCGCAGACCUGCCCCCUGAAGGCUUCCAGGCCUCCUAUGGUAAAGACGAAGACAGGGCCUGUGACGAAAUCCUGUCAGAUGAUAACUUCAACCUGGAAAAUACUGAGAAAGAUACAUAUUCAGAGGUAGAUGAUGAAUUGGACAUUUCGGAUAACUCCAGCAGCUCCAGUUCAAGCCCUCUGAAAGAAUCUACAUUCAACAUUUUAAAGAGAAGUUUUAGUGCUUCAGGAGGAGAAAGACAAUCCCAAACAAGGGACUUCACUGGAGGAACAGGAUCAAGACCAAGACCAGCUUUGCUGCCUCUUGACCUGCUUCUGAAAGUGCCACCCCUCAUGCUCAGGGCCCACAUUAAGGAACUAGAGGCCGAGUUAGUGACAGGGUGGCAGUCCCAUAGCCUUCCUGCUGUGAUUCUUCGAAAUCUCAAAGAUCAUGGUAGUACUUACUAGAUCACAUUGAUGUUAAGCACAUAGUGGGCAAAUGCAGAAUUAUAGUUGGGCCUGAGAUGUCUGAACGAUGCUUGGGUGGUAAUUUUAAUACAAAGAGCAGGAGAAUUCUGCCUUGUUUGUUCACCAUUAUUAGUUUGGUGAUUUGAUGGUAACAAAAUACCUUCUGUGUUCACUGUUGGUUG